rnacentral:rRNA from 1 species
UACGUAGGAUGCGAGCGUUAUCCGGAAUUACUGGGUGUAAAGGGAGCGCAGGCGGGACUGCAAGUUGGAUGUGAAAUGCCGCAGCUUAACUGCGGAGCUGCAUCCAAAACUGUAGUUCUUGAGUGGAGUAGAGGCAAGCGGAAUUCCGAGUGUAGCGGUGAAAUGCGUAGAUAUUCGGAGGAACACCAGUGGCGAAGGCGGCUUGCUGGGCUCUAACUGACGCUGAGGCUCGAAAGUGUG